rnacentral:rRNA from 1 species
CCUACGGGUGGCAGCAGUGAGGAAUAUUGGUCAAUGGCCGGAAGCCUGAACCAGCCAAGCCGCGUGAAGGACGAAGGUACCAAGCAUUGUAAACUUCUUUUGUCAAGGGACAAAAUCAGGCUCGAGAGCCUGACCGAGGGUACUUGAAGAAAAAGCAUCGGCUAACUCCGUGCCAGCAGCCGCGGUAAUACGGAGGAUGCGAGCGUUAUCCGGAUUUAUUGGGUUUAAAGGGUGCGUAGGCGGCCUGUUAAGUCAGCGGUAAAAGCCCGGGGCUCAACCCCGGCGAGCCGUUGAAACUGGCUGUCUUGAGAUGUAGAGAGGUACGCGGAAUGCGCAGUGUAGCGGUGAAAUGCUUAGAUAUUGCGCAGAACCCCGAUUGCGAAGGCAGCAUACCGGCGGCGAUCUGACGCUGAGGCACGAAAGCGUGGGUAUCGAACAGGAUUAGAUACCCCGGUAGUC